rnacentral:lncRNA from 1 species
AUGGGUGGAAGAUCUGGCCAGAUCUAUGGCUCUGUUCUUUAAAUUUCUUGGAGGAUCUUAAGCUCAGGUGCAACGGGAAAUGUGAAUAAGGGUUCCAAAUUUUCCAGAUCUUCCAUAUUUAAUUUAAAGUUUUAUGAUUUGGUCAUUACAUUUGUUUUCUUGGAAGAAAUAAGAUCUCUUAUACUAAUUAGAGUUUUUGUUUUCAUGAGAUAGCAGUUUCAUGGGUGAUUUUAAGUUCAGAAGGGAGAAGGAACUGAGACUGAAGAUGUUCUUGAUGAUGGAAUUGUGAAAAACAUACAAAUCUUAUUGCUUCUUCAGGUUGCGGUUGCCUAUGAAAGUAUGAAAAUCUACCAAGCAAACUGCGGUUAACCCUGUUAAUUAUAGUUUACUAUUUAAAAUGUGUUUCGGAGAAAAAAAAGUGUAAUGUGUUUAUUCAAAAUUGGAGAAAAAAGUGUAAUGUUUUUAUUUGCGGUUAAACCUGGUAAUUAUGGUUUGAUGUUUAAAAUGUGUUUUCGAGUAAAGAAGUGUAAUGUGUAUUCAAAAUUGUUUGUUUCGCUCACAAGUGGGUCGACAUUGCUGGUACUGAGGCUGAUUUUGAAGCUAUAAAUAUGUGGCUAAAUGGGUCGGUUUGGGUAACGGUUCAGAUGGGUAAGCUCGAUAUGUGGCUGAAAGACGGAUUCCAUUUGUUGCUCUUGAUGUGACAAGGUAUAAAGUCAUUUAUAUUUUUUAUGUGCUAAAUGGGUUAAAGAGAUGAGGAUUCGAGCUCUGGAGAUGGUGUCAGAACUCAAAGAGCGGAUAAACAGGUCGUUGCUUAUUGUAUCACACAAAUAACUGAAGAUGGUGUUGGUGGAGUUAGCUGGGAGCAUUUCAGGUGCUCUGCACCGAAUGAGGAUCUGUGACAAAGGCCAAGCAUGAUAGAACAGCAUAACAAAAAGUUCCAGUUGAAGGUCACAGGGGAAAAAUUGUUGAAUUUAAUGCUGAGGUUCAAUUGGAGAAGACUUAGCGCUGAGACGAAACUCAAGAGUGAGGUCCAAUUGCAAGACUUGAUAGCAACAUGUUUUUCUCAAUGUCAAUCGCAAUAAAUGAUGUCCGUGUUCGGUUAAAGGUUGCCA